AAGCCCCCUCCAAAACCCUACCACAGCCCCAUUCAAAAAGGCCCCUUCUCCCCUAAUCUAUAUAGCUUCAACCCCUUCCUCGUCCUUAGAAAAGCAGAGGAAGGGAAAUAGAGGCAAGUACAAGCAAUGGCUAGAAAAAGAAAUCCCAUCCUUGGGAGGGCAUGGGACCUCAUAGCCCUCUCCAUCUCUCCCAUAGCCAAAAUGAAAAGACCCAUCAGCCGAAAGCUCUUAUUCUUCAAAAGGUCUAAAAGAUUCAGGCUCCGCAAGCACUACAACUACGCCUUUGUUGGAGAGUACGAGUUCUCUCCUUCCAGCACUCCUCUCGUACGCCACCCUCGCACUCCCUCGAAAAAGAAGAGCUGUUUCUUAUGUCUUCCAUGUGGUGGGAAUGACACCGAGUCCAUUGGUGAAGAAAGCAUCGGAGAUGAAUGGGAGAUGUUGUUACCAUAUGUUGAUGAAUCUAGGCAGGAGCCGUCCGAGCUUUCAGAGCCAAGGGAAGAUAAUGGUUCAUCAUCUAUUGAUCAGAAAGCAGAGAAGUUCAUAGAGAGAUUCUAUCAAGAGAUGAGGAUUCAGAGGCAAGAGUCUAUGAUGCACUAUAUGGAGAUGCUUAAUAUAAGUUCUUAGAUUUUUAUAUAUUUUGCAUUUCCCCUCUUUUGUUUUCAUUAGUUUUGGUUGUCCACUUCUCUGCAAGUGAGAUACUAGCAUGUUUGGCUACGGAGAAGUUUUAUAUCUUUGUUGUUUGAUUUGUUUCAAAUGAUUUGUCUUGUUUCAUUCUGUUAUUUGAAAAUUAUGAUUGAUGUGAGUAGACAAUGUUAUGUAUGACUUAGUUUUCACUGUGUUCAA